rnacentral:rRNA from 1 species
UACAGAGGUGGCAAGCGUUGUUCGGAAUUACUGGGCGUAAAGGGCGCGUAGGCGGUCUUUUAAGUCUUGUGUGAAAUCCCUCGGCUCAACUGAGGAACUGCACGGGAUACUGGAAGACUUGAGUUCGGGAGAGGGAAGCGGAAUUCCGGGUGUAGCGGUGAAAUGCGUAGAUAUCUGGAGGAACACCGGUGGCGAAGGCGGCAUCCUGGACCGGCAUUGACGCUGAGGAGCGAAAGCCAGGGGAGCAAACGGG